AUGACCAAUCGAACGAAUAGCAUGGUGGAUGGUGACUUGUUCACUCACUGUCUAACUAGCAAACUCAGUUUGGUGAAUGGUGUGUUGUUUACUGGUGGAUCUGUGAAGCAGGCUCCGUAUUUUGAGACAAUUAAGAAAGUGUUUCGGUAUGUCUUGGACAAGAAUGGUGCAGGAGUUGCAUUUCCAUUGUUCGCACGGUGUCUUGGCUUUAAGCUUGUAAGCAUGACUGUGAGCAAAGCCAACUCAAGUAAGCUGCUGCUGGCCACCUUUCAGAAAAUCGAGGUUAGAUAUAUACACUACUAG
rnacentral:rRNA from 1 species